rnacentral:tRNA from 1 species
AGCUCAGUUGGUAGAGCACCUGACUCUUAAUCAGGGUGUCCAGGGUUCGAGCCCCUGA